CCGCGUCAGUCGGCGCCUUUUUGGAAACCGUAUGCUGUGGGGCACAAACGCAACUUUGCAUUUACUGCAACCAUGAAGCCGAUUCAACGAUGCCUCAAGAUAUCACAGUAGCGUCUCCAAAUAGCGUCCGGAUGUUCUCAGUUGCCGGAAGGAAGGCAAACGGAGCUGAGUGGUUGGAUGACAAUCCACGGGAUGGCGCUGCGAUCUGGAGCGGAGCGGAAGUGAAGAUGGGAGGACUCCUGGAAGAAGUCGGAUUCGGCGCAAAGGAACAGCAAUAGUUUCGAUCUCUUCCAGGCCUAUCUGGAGGGAGAAAGCUACAAAGAAGAAGAACAAAAGAAAAACG